rnacentral:rRNA from 1 species
AUUGAACGCUGGCGGCAGGCCUAACACAUGCAAGUCGAGCGGAGCGGCGGACGGGCGAGUAAUGCCUAGGUAUCUGCCUGGUCGUUGGGGAUAACGUCCGGAAACGGGCGCUAAUACCGCAUACUAUCAGUUGAGCCUAGGUGGGAUUAGUUAGUGGGUGGGGUAAAGGCCUACCAAGGCGACGAUCUCUAGCUGGGCUGAGAGGAUGAUCAGCCACACUGGGACUGAGACACGGGCCAGACUCCUACGGGAGGCAGCAGUGGGGAAUAUUGCACAAUGGGCGCAAGCCUGAUGCAGCCAUGCCGCGUGUGUGAAGAAGGCCUUAGGGUUGUAAAGUACUUUCAGCGGGGAGGCGUUACCCGCAGAAGAAGCACCGGCUAACUCCGUGCCAGCAGCCGCGGUAAUAC